rnacentral:rRNA from 1 species
CGGACGGGUGAGUAACGCGUGGAUAACCUGCCUCACACUGGGGGAUAACAGUUAGAAAUGGCUGCUAAUACCGCAUAAGCGCACAGUACCGCAUGGUACGGUGUGAAAAACCCAGGUGGUGUGAGAUGGAUCCGCGUCUGAUUAGCCAGUUGGCGGGGUAACGGCCCACCAAAGCGACGGUCAGUAGCCGACCUGAGAGGGUGACCGGCCACAUUGGGACUGAGACACGGCCCAA